rnacentral:RNase_P_RNA from 1 species
GAAGCCGGCCGGACAAUCGCUGUGGUGUUUCGCCAGAGAGGAAAGUCCGGGCUCCACAGGGCAGGGUGCCAGGUAACGCCUGGGAGGCGCAAGCCUACGGAAAGUGCCGCAGAAAACAUACCGCCGAUGGCCUUCGGGCACAGGCAAGGGUGAAAAGGUGCGGUAAGAGCGCACCGCGCGGCUGGUAACAGUCGUGGCAGGGUAAACCCCACCCGGAGCAAGACCAAAUAGGGGAACAUUGGCGCGGCCCGCGUCGUUCCCGGGUAGGUCGCUUGAGGUGCACGGUGACGUGUGGCCCAGAUGAAUGAUUGUCCUCGACAGAACCCGGCUUACAGGCCGGCUUCAUUU